AUAAAUCAAAAUUUAGUUUCAUAUUUUAAAUUAUCCACUCAACUUCAAAGUUUAAUUUUUUUAAAAAAAUAGACUUAAAAUUUUGACAUUAUUUCAAAAUUUUGAUGUAAAUUUUUAAUAUUUAAUUUUUAAUUUGAAUUUAAAUUAAUAUAUUAUAAAGAUAAUGUUAGUAUAUUAAUUUGAUUACAUUUUUUAUAUCCGCCUGAACCAAACACCGACAAUGGGAAUGAUUUAUUCCGAUUCCGAUUCAGGUGAUGAACCAAACAGAAUUAGGUAAUGAGUCAUUCCGAUUCCGAUUCCAGCUUAUUUUGAUUCCGAUUCCGAUUUCGAUUCCGACUUCAAACCAAACGCGCCCUAACAGUAUUAUAAUAUUUUUAUAUAAUAUUUUAUAACGUGAUAAUAUAUAUUUCUUACCUAACGAA
rnacentral:lncRNA from 1 species